UACGUAGGGUGCAAGCGUUGUCCGGAAUUAUUGGGCGUAAAGAGCUCGUAGGCGGUUUGUUGCGUCGGCUGUGAAAUCCCGAGGCUCAACCUCGGGUCUGCAGUCGAUACGAGCAAACUAGAGUGUUGCAGGGGAGACUGGAAUUCCUGGUGUAGCGGUGAAAUGCGCAGAGUAUCAGGAGGAACACCGGUGGCGAAGGCGGGUCUCUGGGGCAACAACUGACGCUGAGGAGCGAAAGCGUGGGGAGCGAACAGG
rnacentral:rRNA from 1 species